rnacentral:misc_RNA from 1 species
CGUUUCGAGCGCUCAAAAGCUCAGGCCGAGCGCAGCAGACUCCGUGCGGCGCAGGACCUGCGGCAUGCCGCUGAUCAACUUGAACGGAAUAUCCCUCGCGGGCCCCUUGGAAAAAGCCUGGGCCGAGCCGAUCGGAUGCGGUAUCUGGUCGGCGAACUUCGAGAUCGAGCCGAUUCGCUCUCGAGCGACACCAGCUAGAUCGCGCCGCUCGGUUGCGAGGCGCGCUGACGCGAUAGCUGCUGGCAAACUCAAUCUGUGCCGGGUAUCUACCUUCGACAAGACGCGACCUACGUUGCGAUGAGCGAGAC